rnacentral:rRNA from 1 species
GUCUAUGGCCAUACCACCCUGAAUGUGCCCGAUCUUGUCUGAUCUCAGAAGCUAAGCAGGGUGGGGCCUGGUUAGUACUUGGAUGGGAGAAAAUGGAAAUGAAAGAAGAUUGGGUAAGAGGGGUAUCAUGAUCU